ensembl:lncRNA
AUGAGAAACCGGGAAAGGAAAACCUCACCCAUUGACACACUCCUCCUUGGACUUCUCCAAGCUCCACCGAAACAACUCUCUAUAAACAAAGAAGCUUGCCAUUUUGGAUUCUCUCACUGCAGUCUUGUAUUCGGUGCUUGUGUUUCUUGGUUUACAGCAAUGAGGAUGUCUUUCCCACGACCAAUGCUGCCAUUGCUGGGUCUGAUUCUAAGUGGCAUAGUUCUGGCUGCUCCAGGAACAAUCGUGGAUGAGAAACCAAGCUGUGACCUCCCACACCAUCACUGCAGAGUGGGCUACUGUUCCGAAGAAGAAAUCCCCAGCGGCAUGUUUUGUUUUGAGCCUGUCAUCCUAUGCUGCAAAUAUUGGCCCAAGCAAUACAAGAGAAUGAAGAAAAAACAGGCCAUUGCUCCAUUUGGAGAAGUUCUACGUAACCUCCUCUGAUGUGAAACAAAUGUUGCAAAAUGACAUGAGAAAACACAGUGACUUCCUUUUGGGGUUCACACCACUGCAGUUGCCAGAUGGAAAGACUCUUCAAGAACAUUUGUUUAAUGUCUCAAGGUGCCUGUUAUGCUCGAUAAAUGCUCAGCCAGGAUAAUGUAUAUAGCAAGCUUGGAAGCUUUCUGAAAAGUUUUCCCCAUAUUGAUUGACCACCACAAAAGCCUGUUGCCAAAAUUUCUAUGUGCUGUACAUGCAAUUCAUGCAGAGUGCUGCUGCUUUCUGAAAUAGGCAAUUCUAGGUGUUUGGAUGUUUUCUAGGCAGCAAAACCAAUGUAAACAGAACAGAUUUGCAGUUGCUGGAACUUUGCUUAUUAAACUUGGUGAUACUUGGUGAUUCCAAUGUCAGUAGAGUGAUGAUUGGGUAUGAGGAUUCAGAUAUAGAAUCAGCGUUGGAGAGGGCCUCGUGGGCCAUCUAGUCCACCUCCUAUGCUCAGAAGAGGAUAUCUGUAACAUUAUAGUAAAAUAUGAAUUCAUAUUCAUAUCAGUACAGGAUAUCCAGGUAAAGCAGGGGUCCCCAAACUUUUUGAGCAGAGGGCCGGUUCACAAACUUUCAGACUGUUGAGGGGCCGAAUUAUCAUUUGAAAAAAAAAUACAAACAAAUUCCUAUGCAUACUGCAUAUGUCUUAUUUGUAGUGCAACAAUAACAACAACAACAACGAAAGAACAAUACAAUACUUAAAAAUGAAAACAAUUAUAACCAACAUAAACCUAUUAGGAUUUCAAUGGAAAGUGUGGGCCUGCUACUGGCCAAUGAGACAGUCAAGUUAAUUUGGAUUAUUGUUGUUGUUGUGUGCCUUCAAGUCAUGUCAGACUUUGGCCAAGCCUAAGUCUAAAAUUAAUAUUUACUGCAUUUAUUUACUACAUUUAUAUCCCACCCUUCUCACCACGAAGGGGACUCAGAGCAGCUGUAUGUACAUACAAUAUAUUAUAUUAUUAGCAUAACACAAUAUUAGCAUUAUAUAUUACUAUAUUGAACUAUACCACUAUACUAUUAUAUAAUAUGUAAUAUAUAACAUAUAAUUAUUAUAUGGUAUUAUUAUUAGUAUUAUAUUGUAUAACAUAUUAUUAUCAAUAUUAUAUGUAUAUACAAUAUAUUAUAUUAUUAGCAUAACACAAUAUUAGCAUGAUA